GAAGGAGAGCGCAGCAUUUACUGAAACGAUGUACCCCCGCUGGUUUGUUGUCCGAAGUGCUGCCAGGAAAGAGUACUGGAUAGUGCCAGCGAGUGCUGUGCAACCGCGACCUGCGCCGUACUGCUUUCCGAACACGAAGGAGUUCGUCCUCAACAAUUUCCACCCUUCCUCGAAGAAAAGUCUCCGACGGUGCCGCGCCGCCCAGCCAAUGAGCGCCUGUCGUUUGAAUGGAGGCGCCGACCCGGGCCUCGUUAAAGCUGAAUUUAGGCGGAGGCCGACGACCAAGUGGAAGACGAGCAGAGGGCCACCGACGACGACGACGGCCUGGAGGCGGAGGCGGGGCAGGCGGGGCAGGCCAACCAGGCGCAGCAGCAGCAGCCAAUCGUGCUCCUGCGGCGCUGUGAUGUAAGUCCGAGCACUAGAUAAAGGAGAGGAGAUGGGUGAUGCCGAAGGGUUAGAACUCGAAAUAAACGUGAAUAUUGUCACCUGUCAGUACCGUCGCCGAUUUGAAAUUGUGCUGCGCUCUGAUUGGUCGAGGCGGGGGCGGGGCGGUCUCGUCAGACGAUUAGUAGAGGUGAGAGAGUGCGUGUCAGGGUGAAGUGAAUUCAGAUCUAAAAGAAUGUCAUCAGAAGAUAUCCUGCGGAUAGACUUCACCGACUCCUCUGAGGAGGAGCAAGUGGUGAGUACAAAUGUUAUACUCUGAGUGAAAUCGCGUGAGACCAGAGAGGUGUCGGACUCCUAACCUGUUGCUACCGCGAGUCUCCCUCCGCCAUUCAAUUUUGAACUCGUUGAUUUACACGUGCGCUUUCAAAGCCGUGAUUGAGUUCGCCGCGCUUUUCAAACUAACCGCGUGAGUUUGCCGCCCCUUUCCUAACCUCACCACAUGCCGAGUUCUCACGAAAUUCUUUUCAGCGAGUGAAUCUGCACUUGAUGGGUGAACGCCCACCGGAACCUCACGCCGUCCCCGACCCACCCUCCGACUGG